rnacentral:misc_RNA from 1 species
GAAAUGCGAUAAGUAAUGUGAAUUGCAGAAUUCAGUGAAUCAUCGAAUCUUUGAACGCACAUUGCGCCCGCCAGUAUUCUGGCGGGCAUGCCUGUUCGAGCGUCAUUUCAACCAUCAAGCCCACGGCUUGUGCUGGGGACCUGCGGCUGCCGCAGGCCCUGAAAACCAGUGGCGGGCUCGCUGUCACCCCGAGCGUAGUAGCAUACAUCUCGCUCCGGGCGUGCCGCGGGCGCCUGCCGUGAAACAAACAAACUCAAGGUUGACCUCGGAUCAGGUAGGAAGACCCGCUGAACUUAA